rnacentral:rRNA from 1 species
GUAGGGAAUAUUGGUCAAUGGAUGCAAGUCUGAACCAGCCAUGCCGCGUGCAGGAAGAAGGCCUUCUGGGUUGUAAACUGCUUUUACCAGGGGAUAAAAAUCUCAUGCGUGAGAAAUUGAAGGUACCUGGUGAAUAAGCCACGGCUAACUACGUGCCAGCAGCCGCGGUAAUACGUAGGUGGCAAGCGUUGUCCGGAUUUAUUGGGUUUAAAGGGUGCGUAGGCGGCCCUGUAAGUCAGUGGUGAAAUACUCUAGCUUAACUAGAGGGGUGCCAUUGAUACUGCAGGGCUUGAGUACAGAUGAGGUAGGCGGAAUUGACGGUGUAGCGGUGAAAUGCAUAGAUAUCGUCAAGAACUCCGAUAGCGAAGGCAGCUUACUAAGCUGUAACUGACGCUGAGGCACGAAAGUGUGGGGAUCAAACAGGAUUAGAAACCCGGGUAGUCC